rnacentral:rRNA from 1 species
AAACUCAAAGGAAUUGACGGGGGCCCGCACAAGCGGUGGAGCAUGUGGCUUAAUUCGAUGCAACGCGAAGAACCUUACCUGGGCUUGACAUGCCCGUCGUAUCUUAUCGAAAGAUAGGAGUCAGUUUUGCUGGACGGUGCACAGGUGCUGCAUGGCUGUCGUCAGCUCGUGUCGUGAGAUGUUGGGUUAAGCCCCGCAACGAGCGCAACCCCUAUGUUUAGUUGCCAGCACGUAAUGGUGGGGACUCUAGACAGACUGCCUGUGUAACAGGAGGAAGGUGGGGAUGACGUCAAGUCAGUAUGGUCCUUAUGCUCAGGGCUGCACACGUGCUACAAUGGCCGGUACAAUGGGAAGCAAUAUCGCAAGGUGGAGCAAAUCCCUAAAGCCGGUCUCAGUUCGGAUCGGGGUCUGCAAUUCGACCCCGUGAAGUUGGAAUCGCUAGUAAAGGCGUAUCAGCAAUGGCGUCUUGAAUACGUUCCCGGGCCUUGUACACACCGCCCGUCACAUCAUGAAAGUCCGUUGCACCC